UGAUCCAGCCCAUGCCGCGUGUGUGAAGAAGGCCUUCGGGUUGUAAAGCACUUUCGGCCGGAACGAAAUCGCGCGAUCUAAUAAGUCGUGUGGAUGACGGUACCGGAAGAAGAAGCACCGGCUAACUACGUGCCAGCAGCCGCGGUAAUACGUAGGGUGCGAGCGUUAAUCGGAAUUACUGGGCGUAAAGUGUGCGCAGGUGGCCGCGCAAGUCGAGUGUGAAAUCCCCGGGCUUAACUUGGGAAUUGCGCUCGAAACUACGUGGCUCGAGUGUGGCAGAGGAAGGUGGAAUUCCACGUGUAGCGGUGAAAUGCGUAGAGAUGUGGAGGAACACCGAUGGCGAAGGCAGCCUUCUGGGUCAACACUGACACUCAUGCACGAAAGCGUGGGGAGCAAACAGGAUUAGAUACCCUGGUAGUCCACGCCCUAAACGAUGAUGACUAGUUGUUGGAGGAGUUAAAUCCUUUAGUAACGCAGCUAACGCGUGAAGUCAUCCGCCUGGGGAGUACGGUCGCAAGAUUAAAACUCAAA
rnacentral:rRNA from 1 species